rnacentral:lncRNA from 1 species
CCUAGGCAACGGUGACUGCGUCACACGCCCCUUCUGUUCCAGAGGCGCGGGGUUCCACGCGGAGGGCGCUGGGGAAGCGCCGCCGGGGGCUCUGGGGACCCGCGUGGGGCGCAGUCUAGGCGGAGGCCAGCGCAGAUGCCCAGUCACGAUUCCGUGAGCAUUCGCCCCCACCGACGACGUGAGAUUUCUGCUCUUUGGCGAUUGUCACUGAUUUCACCUGCGUUAAAAAGGCUGUCAGGAGAGUAGGCCCUGGGACUUCCCAAAGAAGGGACCAAGCUGUACUCCCCCUUCUUCUCUGACCUUUUCAUAAGGACCAAGAGUUGGACUGGCAACACAGUGAAAAGGGUGAACCAAAAGUCACCAAUUUACCUGUGAGAAUAAAGGUCCACAUCCAAAGCAAGUGUACAUAAAUUAACUGGUUAUUUAACAUGAAGUCUCUCAGAAUUCUGACGAGAGUAGUUGGACUCAGCUAUGGAGUACUUUUCUUUGCCUUAUGCUGGGGUCCACUGAAAACUGGGAACGUUUUAGAGUCUACAUUGGUGAAUUAAAUGGUGAUAGAGUGGGAACCAACACCCCUGCCUCA